AGUAUGUAAUAGUAUAGUCGGCCGUAUUGUGUUAGCCGUGUUGUGUGUAACCCUGCGAAAUGCAGAAAUAGCCUCGAGGCCCGGCCGUUUACAGAACUCGAAAAUAAAUAUUAUUUUCAUUGCAAUAAUCGUAUAUCAUAUAAAAGGCCAAAUCCGUUUAUCUGUCUGUAACAAUUUUCUCUUAUACUCAGAACGAAAGUUGUGGCAUUCGGGUCGAAAUUUGAGUUCAAACACAAUACACAAAUAACAUAAUUUAAAAUGGAGAUAAUAUUUCCGAGUGCUGUUGGUAGCUUUUGUCUAAGUGUCUUAAUUUUAAAAUUACGACUAUGUUAGUUUUAGCAUUUUUUUUUUCAAAUAGCUUUAAUGUCGAAGGGCAGAACAUUACCUAGAUCUGUAUUUAAACGUUGGAUUUUUGUCGAUACUUAAACUUUCAAUCGAGAUAUAUCGAGUGUGUGAAAUAUCACAAUUUAAAAACUAAAAUAUCA